UACAGAGGUCUCAAGCGUUGUUCGGAUUCAUUGGGCGUAAAGGGUGCGUAGGCGGUGGGGCAAGUCAGGUGUGAAAUCCCGGAGCUCAACUCCGGAACUGCACUUGAUACUGCCUUGCUAGAGUACUGGAGAGGAGACUGGAAUUUACGGUGUAGCAGUGAAAUGCGUAGAGAUCGUAAGGAAGACCAGUGGCGAAGGCGAGUCUCUGGACAGUUACUGACGCUGAGGCACGAAGGCCAGGGGAGCAAACAGG
rnacentral:rRNA from 1 species